rnacentral:snRNA from 1 species
ACGCUAGCUUCGGCAGCACAUAUACUAAAACUGACACAGUACAAAGGUUAGCACGGCCCCUGCCCAAGGAUGAUAGGCAAAUUCAUGAAGCAUUCCAUAUUUUU